AGAGUUUGAUCCUGGCUCAGGAUGAACGCUGGCGGCGUGCCUAAUACAUGCAAGUCGAACGCUUUGUGGUCCAACUGAUUUGAAGAGCUUGCUCAGAUAUGACGAUGGACAUUGCAAAGAGUGGCGAACGGGUGAGUAACACGUGGGAAACCUACCUCUUAGCAGGGGAUAACACUUGGAAACAAGUGCUAAUACCGUAUAACACUAAUAACCGCAUGGUUAUUAGUUAAAAGAUGGUCUUGCUAUCACUAAGAGAUGGUCCCGCGGUGUAUUAGCUAGUUGGUAAGGUAAUGGCUUACCAAGGCAAUGAUACAUAGCCGAGUUGAGAGACUGAUCGGCCACAAUGGGACUGAGACACGGCCCAUACUCCUACGGGAGGCAGCAGUAGGGAAUCUUCCAUAAUGGACGAAAGUCUGAUGGAGCAACGCCGCGUGUGUGAUGAAGGGUUUCGGCUCGUAAAACACUGUUGUAAGAGAAGAAUGACAUUGAGAGUAACUGUUCAGUGUGUGACGGUAUCUUACCAGAAAGGGACGGCUAAAUACGUGCCAGCAGCCGCGGUAAUACGUAUGUUCCAAGCGUUAUCCGGAUUUAUUGGGCGUAAAGCGAGCGCAGACGGUUAUUUAAGUCCGAAGUGAAAGCCCACAGCUUAACUGUGGAAGUGCUUUUGGAACUGGAUAACUUGAGUGCAGUAGAGGAGAGUGGAACUCCCAUGUGUAGCGGUGAAAAUGCCUAGAUAUUAUGGAAAGAACACCCAGUGGUCGACGCCGGCUUCUCUGGACUCGUAACUGGACGUUGAAGCUCGCAA
rnacentral:rRNA from 1 species